GUGCCCCAGUAGUGGGGGGAUAGCCCGGCCGAAAGCCCGGGAUUAAUACCGCAUACGACCUACGGGUGAAAGCGGGGGAUCGCAAGACCUCGCGCUAUUUGGAGCGGCCGAUGUCGGAUUAGCUAGUUGGUGGGGUAAAGGCCUACCAAGGCUACGAUCCGUAGCUGGUCUGAGAGGACGACCAGCCACACUGGGACUGAGACACGGCCCAGACUCCUACGGGAGGCAGCAGUGGGGAAUUUUGGACAAUGGGCGCAAGCCUGAUCCAGCCAUGCCGCGUGCGGGAAGAAGGCCUUCGGGUUGUAAACCGCUUUUGUCAGGGAAGAAAUGUUCUGGGCUAAUACCCCGGAGCGAUGACGGUACCUGAAGAAUAAGCACCGGCUAACUACGUGCCAGCAGCCGCGGUAAUACGUAGGGUGCAAGCGUUAAUCGGAAUUACUGGGCGUAAAGCGUGCGCAGGCGGUUAUGCAAGACAGAUGUGAAAUCCCCGGGCUCAACCUGGGAACUGCAUUUGUGACUGCAUGGCUAGAGUACGGUAGAGGGAGAUGGAAUUCCGCGUGUAGCAGUGAAAUGCGUAGAUAUGCGGAGGAACACCGAUGGCGAAGGCAAUCUCCUGGACCUGUACUGACGCUC
rnacentral:rRNA from 1 species